UAGUCCACGCAGUAAACGAUGUACGCUAGGUGUAGGGGAUAUUAAAAUUUUCUGUGCCGCAGUUAACGCAAUAAGUGUACCGCCUGGGGAGUACGGUCGCAAGACUAAAACUCAAAGGAAUUGACGGGGGCCCGCACAAGCGGUGGAUCAUGUGGUUUAAUUCGAAGCAACGCGAAGAACCUUACCUGGGUUUGAAAUCCCGAGAAUCCCUUGGAAAAGAGGGAGUGCCCUUCGGGGAAUUCGGUGACAGGCGCUGCAUGGCUGUCGUCAGCUCGUGUUGUGAAAUGUUGGGUUAAGUCUCGCAACGAGCGGAACCCUUGUCUUUAGUUGCCAGCAUUAAGUUGGGCACUCUAAAGAGACCGCCGGGGUUAACCCGGAGGAAGGUGGGGAUGACGUCAAGUCCUCAUGGCCCUUAUACCCAGGGCUACACACGUGAUACAAUGGGUGGUACAAAGGGAUGCUGACCUGCGAAGGAUUGGCCAAUCUCAAAAAACCACUCUCAGUCCGGAUUGGAGUCUGCAACUCGACUCCA
rnacentral:rRNA from 1 species